CCUACGGGGGGCAGCAGUGAGGAAUAUUGGUCAAUGGGCGCAAGCCUGAACCAGCCAAGUCGCGUGAGGGAUGACGGUCCUAUGGAUUGUAAACCUCUUUUGUCGGGGAGCAAGGCCCGCCACGUGUGGCGGGAAGGAGAGUACCCGCAGAAAAAGCAUCGGCUAACUCCGUGCCAGCAGCCGCGGUAAUACGGAGGAUGCGAGCGUUAUCCGGAUUUAUUGGGUUUAAAGGGUGCGUAGGCGGAAGGUUAAGUCAGCGGUCAAAUGUCGGUGCUCAACACCGGCCUGCCGUUGAAACUGGUCGUCUUGAGUGAGCGAGAAGUAGGCGGAAUGCGUGGUGUAGCGGUGAAAUGCAUAGAUAUCACGCAGAACUCCGAUUGCGAAGGCAGCAUACCGGCGCUCAACUGACGCUGAGGCACGAAAGCGUGGGGAUCGAACAGGAUUAGAUACCCUUGUAGUC
rnacentral:rRNA from 1 species